CGCGUAGGAAACUACCCAGUAGUGGGGGACAACAGUUGGAAACGACUGCUAAUACCGCAUACGCUCUACGGAGGAAAGGGGGCUUCGGCUCUCGCUAUUGGAUGUGCCUGCGUGAGAUUAGCUAGUUGGUGGGGUAAAGGCCUACCAAGGCAACGAUCUCUAGCUGGUCUGAGAGGAUGAUCAGCCACACUGGGACUGAGACACGGCCCAGACUCCUACGGGAGGCAGCAGUGGGGAAUAUUGGACAAUGGGCGAAAGCCUGAUGCAGCGACGCCGCGUGAGGGAUGACGGCCUCGGUGU
rnacentral:rRNA from 1 species